AUUGAACGCUGGCGGCAGGCCUAACACAUGCAAGUCGAGCGGAGCGGCGGACGGGUGAGUAAGGCCUAUGAAUCUGCCUGGGAGUGGGGGAUAACGUCCGGAAAUGGACGCUAUUACCGCAUACUAUUAGAUUAGCAUAGGUCGGAUUAGCUAGUUGGUGGGGUAAAGGCCUACCAAGGCGACGAUCCGUAACUGGUCUGAGAGGAUGAUCAGUCACACUGGAACUGAGACACGGUCCAGACUCCUACGGGAGGCAGCAGUGGGGAAUAUUGGACAAUGGGCGAAAGCCUGAUACAGCCAUGCCGCGUGUAUGAAGAAGGUCUUCGGAUUGUAAAGCACUUUAAGUUGGGAGGCGUUACCAACAGAAUAAGCACCGGCUAACUUCGUGCCAGCAGCCGCGGUAAUUC
rnacentral:rRNA from 1 species